rnacentral:misc_RNA from 1 species
UUUCCGUAGGUGAACCUGCGGAAGGAUCAUUACUGAGGUUGUGCGGUUUGCCCGUGAGCGGGCGCCGGCCACCCGUCCUUGCGUCAUAUGCAGCGGGGAGACCCGAGAGAAUCACUUCGGCGGAGGUGCCGUGGGACUCCUGGCGACGGGAGGACCGCGGCCGCCGCCGGUCGUAGGAAGCAAAAGUCUGUUUUGCAGCAGUGUAAGAAUGUCUGGAGAAACGAAAACCGAAACGAAGAAAAACUUUCAACAACGGAUCUCUUGGCUCUGGCAUCGAUGAAGAACGCAGC